CUUGUCAGGGCUCCCAUUUCUUUGAAUAGACUUUAAAGGGUUACUCCAAUAACCAUGAUCACUUUGGUGAUUUGAAGUGGUCAUGGUGAUAGAAGUGUAUAUGUACAGUGUUUCAGCUACUGGGAUAUUUGUAGUUGUAUGCUGGGGACUAGAUGCAACCUCAGCACAUGUGACAUUGGGAGCCUAAAACUGUGUUCUGGGCUGCCAAUGUUAAAGGAGC